AGUGAAUAAAAUUUAAUGUUUUACUAUUCGAUUAAAAAUAAUUGAGCGUAAUUUGGUGUUCUAAGCAUGUUUCAAAUCUUACUGCAUAAAAACGUCAAAUAUUAAAAAUCAUGAUUAUUUUCCAACAAAAAGAAUGCACAAUUUGGACAGAAAGAGUUUCAUUAAUAUCGCAUCUCACGUUUUACUCUGGACCUUGUUCAUAACAACAAGUUUCGUCCGUCCAAUUGAACGUGAAAUUUUAAAAGAAGAACUAUGGAAGUAUCAAUAUCCGUAUGUAAAAAGUUACGUGUCAUCAAGUUCUUUAUUCGUUUUCGUUUUCGCUGUGC
rnacentral:misc_RNA from 1 species